AUAGGUGUCCCGGUGCGGAAGCCAUGCUCUGGCUUAAAAUCCCUCGGGGGUAACCCCGUGCCGGUUCGACCCCGGCUCCGGGCACCA
rnacentral:tRNA from 2 species